rnacentral:rRNA from 1 species
UACGAAGGGGGCUAGCGUUGCUCGGAAUCACUGGGCGUAAAGGGUGCGUAGGCGGGUCUUUUAAGUCAGGGGUGAAAUCCUGGAGCUCAACUCCCAGAACUGCCUUUGAUACUGAAGAUCUUGAGUUCGGGAGAGGUGAGUGGAAUUUCGGUGUGUAGGGGUGAAAUCCGCAAAUCUACGAAGGAAGGCCAAAAGCGAAGGCAGCUCUCUGGGUCCCUACCGACGCUGGGGUGCGAAAGCAUGGGGAGCGAACAGG